rnacentral:rRNA from 1 species
UACGUAGGGUGCGAGCGUUAAUCGGAAUUACUGGGCGUAAAGCGUGCGCAGGCGGUUAUAUAAGACAGUUGUGAAAUCCCCGGGCUCAACCUGGGAAUUGCAUCUGUGACUGUAUAGCUAGAGUACGGUAGAGGGGGAUGGAAUUCCGCGUGUAGCAGUGAAAUGCGUAGAUAUCGGAAGGAACAUCAGUGGCGAAAGCGACUUCCUGGACCAAUACUGACGCUCAUGUGCGAAAGCGUGGGGAGCAAACAGG